GAGUUUGAUCCUGGCUCAGAAUCAACGCUGGCGGCGUGCCUCAGACAUGCAAGUCGAACGAUUAAACUUUCCUUCGGGAAAGAUAUAAAGUGGCGCACGGGUGAGUAACACGUAGGUAAUCUACCUUUGAGUGGGGAAUAACAAUCGGAAACGAUUGCUAAUACCGCAUAAUGCAGCGGCAUCGUAAGAUGACAGUUGUUAAAGGAGCAAUCCGCUUAAAGAGGAGCCUGCGGCAGAUUAGCUAGUUGGUAAGGUAAUGGCUUACCAAGGCUACGAUCUGUAACCGACCUGAGAGGGUGGUCGGUCACACUGACACUGAAUAACGGGUCAGACUCCUACGGGAGGCAGCAGUCGGGAAUUUUGGGCAAUGGGCGAAAGCCUGACCCAGCAACGCCGCGUGAAGGAUGAAGUAUUUCGGUAUGUAAACUUCGAAAGAAUAGGAAGAAUAAAUGACGGUACUAUUUAUAAGGUCCGGCUAACUACGUGCCAGCAGCCGCGGUAAUACGUAGGGACCAAGCGUUGUUCGGAUUUACUGGGCGUAAAGGGCGCGUAGGCGGCAGUUCAAGUCAGUUGUGAAAUCUCCGAGCUUAACUCGGAACGGUCAACUGAUACUGUUUUGCUAGAGUGCAGAAGGG
rnacentral:rRNA from 1 species